rnacentral:rRNA from 1 species
AUUAAGAAUAGUUAGUGGCAGACGGGUGAGUAAUGCAUAGGAAUCUACCUAGUAGUAUGGGAUAGCCACUAGAAAUGGUGGGUAAUACUGUAUAAUCCCUGCGGGGGAAAGAUUUAUCGCUAUUAGAUGAGCCUAUGUUAGAUUAGCUAGUUGGUAGGGUAAAGGCCUACCAAGGCGAUGAUCUAUAGCUGGUCUGAGAGGAUGAUCAGCCACACUGGAACUGAGAUACGGUCCAGACUCCUACGGGAGGCAGCAGUGGGGAAUAUUGGACAAUGGGCGCAAGCCUGAUCCAGCUAUGCCGCAUGAGUGAGGAAGGCCUUAGGGUUGUAAAACUCUUUCAGUAGGGAAGAUAAUGACGGUACCUACAGAAGAAGUCCCGGCAAACUCCGUGCCAGCAGCCGCGGUAAUACGGAGGGGGCAAGCGUUGUUCGGAAUUAUUGGGCGUAAAGGGCAUGUAGGCGGUUCGGUAAGUUAAAGGUGAAAUGCCAGGGCUUAAC